rnacentral:rRNA from 1 species
UACGCAGGGGGCUAGCGUUGCUCGGAAUUACUGGGCGUAAAGCGCACGUAGGCGGUCUUUUAAGUCGGGGGUGAAAUCCUGGAGCUCAACUCCAGAACUGCCUUCGAUACUGGAAGACUCGAGUCCGGGAGAGGUGAGUGGAACUGCGAGUGUAGAGGUGAAAUUCGUAGAUAUUCGCAAGAACACCAGUGGCGAAGGCGGCUCACUGGCCCGGUACUGACGCUGAGGUGCGAAAGCGUGGGGAGCAAACAGG